rnacentral:rRNA from 1 species
UACGAAGGGGGGCUAGCGUUACUCGGAUUGACUGGGCGUAAAGGGCGCGUAGGCGGAUGGUACAGUCAGACGUGAAAUUCCUGGGCUCAACCUGGGGGCUGCGUUUGAUACGUGCUGUCUGGAGUUCGGAAGAGGGUCGUGGAAUUCCCAGUGUAGAGGUGAAAUUCGUAGAUAUUGGGAAGAACACCGGUGGCGAAGGCGGCGACCUGGUCCGAUACUGACGCGAGGCGCGAAGCCAGGGGAGCAAACGGGG